AGUAAGUUUGUAUACUUUGAUAUUCAUUUUUCAUUGUAAAAUCAGGCGAAUAUAUAAUAUUGGUUUCUUUCAAUUCGCCUUCGGCGUUUCAUCUGCACAAAAAAAAAAACACCAGUUAGACCUAUAACUAUAUUCAAUGAUUUCUAUUUGUCUUAACCGAAUGGCAAAUAGUUCAAGCACGUGCAAGACAAUAACGCGUCAAUAAUAAAUACAAUAGGUAGGUCAUAAAAAUAGAAUGGAUCGGAAGGAACGUUUGAAAAUUUGCACUGUCUGUUGAAAUUAAGUAUAUAUUGGAAAGAGAAAAAAAUUUAGGCGGCGGACCCCUCAUAGAGCUAUGGCGAGGAUUUUAACGUCCAGAAAGAAUGACAUUCUACGGAAUAUUGUGUCCUCAAUCUGACUGGCCGUUGCUGCAUAACCCCCUCCCACCGGAAAACAACCCAAACAGCAAAGUUGUUGAAAAACUUUGCAUCGAUCGAAGAAGUCAAAACUUGCCCAUAUUUAUAUGCGUAAGUUCACCUUGAGGUUGUAUUUAAAUAAUAUAAACAAAAGUGAAAAAAUGAAACACAAACAAACACCAUUUGCAAUCAUUUAUUUGAAUUAUGAAAGAAAUAAACCAAUAUAUGCAUAUUAUAAAGGGUAAUGCAUCUUUGUUUUUUAAACGUCUGUUAAAAUACGAAAUA
rnacentral:lncRNA from 1 species